AACGAACGCUGGCGGCAUGCCUAACACAUGCAAGUCGAACGAGACCUUCGGGUCUAGUGGCGCACGGGUGCGUAACGCGUGGGAACCUGCCUUUAGGUUCGGAAUAACUCAGAGAAAUUUGAGCUAAUACCGGAUGAUGUCUUCGGACCAAAGAUUUAUCGCCUUUAGAUGGGCCCGCGUUGGAUUAGCUAGUUGGUGGGGUAAAGGCCCACCAAGGCGACGAUCCAUAGCUGGUCUGAGAGGAUGAUCAGCCACACUGGGACUGAGACACGGCCCAGACUCCUACGGGAAGCAGCAGUGGGGAAUAUUGGACAAUGGGCGAAAGCCUGAUCCAGCAAUGCCGCGUGAGUGAUGAAGGCCUUAGGGUUGUAAAGCUCUUUUACCCGAGAUGAUAAUGACAGUAUCGGGAGAAUAAGCUCCGGCUAACUCCGUG
rnacentral:rRNA from 1 species